CUGUAAGCCUGUGAAGGUGUACUGUGAGGUAUGCUGGAGGUAUCAGAAGUGCGAAUGCUGACAUAAGUAACGAUAAAGCGGGUGAAAAGCCCGCUCGCCGGAAGACCAAGGGUUCCUGUCCAACGUUAAUCGGGGCAGGGUGAGUCGACCCCUAAGGCGAGGCCGAAAGGCGUAGUCGAUGGGAAACAGGUUAAUAUUCCUGUACUUGGUGUUACUGCGAAGGGGGGACGGAGAAGGCUAUGUUGGCCGGGCGACGGUUGUCCCGGUUUAAGCGUGUAGGCUGGUUUUCCAGGCAAAUCCGGAAAAUCAAGGCUGAGGCGUGAUGACGAGGCACUACGGUGCUGAAGCAACAAAUGCCCUGCUUCCAGGAAAAGCCUCUAAGCAUCAGGUAACAUCAAAUCGUACCCCAAACCGACACAGGUGGUCAGGUAGAGAAUACCAAGGCGCUUGAGAGAACUCGGGUGAAGGAACUAGGCAAAAUGGUGCCGUAACUUCGGGAGAAGGCACGCUGAUAUGUAGGUGAAGUCCCUCGCGGAUGGAGCUGAAAUCAGUCGAAGAUACCAGCUGGCUGCAACUGUUUAUUAAAAACACAGCACUGUGCAAACACGAAAGUGGACGUAUACGGUGUGACGCCUGCCCGGUGCCGGAAGGUUAAUUGAUGGGGUCAGCGCAAGCGAAGCUCUUGAUCGAAGCCCCGGUAAACGGCGGCCGUAACUAUAACGGUCCUAAGGUAGCGAAAUUCCUUGUCGGGUAAGUUCCGACCUGCACGAAUGGCGUAAUGAUGGCCAGGCUGUCUCCACCCGAGACUCAGUGAAAUUGAACUCGCUGUGAAGAUGCAGUGUACCCGCGGCAAGACGGAAAGACCCCGUGAACCUUUACUAUAGCUUGACACUGAACAUUGAGCCUUGAUGUGUAGGAUAGGUGGGAGGCUUAGAAGUGUGGACGCCAGUCUGCAUGGAGCCGACCUUGAAAUACCACCCUUUAAUGUUUGAUGUUCUAACGUUGACCCGUGAUCCGGGUUGCGGACAGUGUCUGGUGGGUAGUUUGACUGGGGCGGUCUCCUCCUAAAGAGUAACGGAGGAGCACGAAGGUUGGCUAAUCCUGGUCGGACAUCAGGAGGUUAGUGCAAUGGCAUAAGCCAGCUUGACUGCGAGCGUGACGGCGCGAGCAGGUGCGAAAGCAGGUCAUAGUGAUCCGGUGGUUCUGAAUGGAAGGGCCAUCGCUCAACGGAUAAAAGGUACUCCGGGGAUAACAGGCUGAUACCGCCCAAGAGUUCAUAUCGACGGCGGUGUUUGGCACCUCGAUGUCGGCUCAUCACAUCCUGGGGCUGAAGUAGGUCCCAAGGGUAUGGCUGUUCGCCAUUUAAAGUGGUACGCGAGCUGGGUUUAGAACGUCGUGAGACAGUUCGGUCCCUAUCUGCCGUGGGCGCUGGAGAACUGAGGGGGGCUGCUCCUAGUACGAGAGGACCGGAGUGGACGCAUCACUGGUGUUCGGGUUGUCAUGCCAAUGGCACUGCCCGGUAGCUAAAUGCGGAAGAGAUAAGUGCUGAAAGCAUCUAAGCACGAAACUUGCC
rnacentral:rRNA from 1 species